UACGAAGGGGGCUAGCGUUGUUCGGAAUUACUGGGCGUAAAGGGCGCGUAGGCGGCCUUCUAAGUCGAACGUGAAAUCCCUGGGCUCAACCCAGGAACUGCGUCCGAUACUGGAAGGCUUGAAUCCGGGAGAGGGAUGCGGAAUUCCAGGUGUAGCGGUGAAAUGCGUAGAUAUCUGGAGGAACACCGGUGGCGAAGGCGGCAUCCUGGACCGGUAUUGACGCUGAGGCGCGAAAGCCAGGGGAGCAAAGCGGG
rnacentral:rRNA from 1 species